rnacentral:rRNA from 1 species
AGAGUUGAUCAUGGCUCAGGAUGAACGCUGGCGGCGUGCCUAAUACAUGCAAGUCGAACGAGGUGGGAGGGAGCUUGCUCCUGGAUACCGAGUGGCGAACGGGUGAGUAACACGUAGGUAACCUGCCCUUAAGCUUGGGAUACCCAGAGGAAACUUUGGCUAAUACCGGAUAACAACAGAGGAGGCAUCUCCUUUGCUUGAAAGGCCCUUCAAAGGGUCACUUAAGGAUGGACCUGCGGCGCAUUAGCUAGUUGGUGAGAUAAAAGCCCACCAAGGCGAGGAUGCGUAGCCGACCUGAGAGGGUGAUCGGCCACAUUGGAACUGAGACACGGUCCAAACUCCUACGGGAGGCAGCAGUAAGGAGUUUUCGGCAAUGGGGGAAACCCUGACCGAGCAACGCCCGCGUGAGUGAUGACGGCCCUAUGGGUUGUAAAGCUCUGUUGUAAGGGACGAACGAUCGUUUAGGAAAUGAAACGGUUCUGACGGUACCUUACCAGAAAGCCACGGCUAACUACGUGCCAGCCGCCGC